rnacentral:SRP_RNA from 1 species
AGCUUGUAACCCAAGUGGGGGCACCAAGGUGAUGGAACAUGGCUCUGGUGUCGUUGGGCUGGGCUGUUAGCUGCAAUAAGUGGCCUGCCCACUCCAAGUUGAGAGUUGGGCCAUGGGGCUUUAGCGAAGGCUCUAGCUUCCUGGUUCCUAAACUGGAGGGCACGGCGUGAGGCUGGUUUCACAGAGCAGCGAUAACCUCCGGCUCCUGACAGUGGAGGGAUAACGGGCCGCUGCACUCUCAGCCCACUACGCCCGGUGAGCCUGGCCUCUUGAACCAUCAU